UUGGACUCUCCUAAUACCUCUUUUGCUACUUUUCGGAUACAACUAGCCAUGGAAUCCCACAUUUGACUAGCUUCCCCCUCUCUAUCCCACACACAUUGGGUGAUUACCUUCUCUUUGAAAAUGGCUUGUUUUUCUUCUUUUAGAUUCCACCAUCUAGUCUUUGGGCACUUCCAAGUCUUGUUCUUUUGUCUUACUCUUUUGAUAUGUACAUCCAUCACCAACAAGCGAUGUUGAUUAGCCACGCUCUCUCCUGGUAUAACUUUGCAAUCCUUACAAGUUAUACGAUCCCCUUUC
rnacentral:lncRNA from 1 species